AGAAGACUUGAAGGUUUGAGGUGGAAUCGAAUGAAACGAGGAUAUGAAGACUCACAUAUGCAAUAAGGUGGAAAUAAAGGAGUUGAGGAAAAUGGGAACUUUAGAUGACAAAAGGGUUAUGCGAAGUUUACUUGUAAUAUGUGGGAGGUGGAGGUGGUGAUUCAUAUUUGUAUGGUGGAGGUGGGGGUGACUUGUACACAUAUGGAGGAGGUGGUGGUGACUCGUACUUGUAGGGAGGUGGUGGUGGUGACUCGUACUUGUAGGGAGGUGGUGGUGGUGACUCGUACUUGUAGGAGGUGGAGGCGGUGACUCGUACUUGUACGGAGGUGGUGGUGGUGACUUGUACUUGUAUGGAGGAGGUGGUGACUCAUACUUGUACGGAGGAGGUGGUGGUGACUCAUACUUGUACGGAGGUGGUGGUGGUGACUUGUACUUGUAUGGAGGCGGUGGUGGUGACUUGUAUUUGUGGAGGAGGUGGUGGUGACUCAUACUUGUACGGAGGUGGUGGUGGUGACUCAUACUUGUAUGGAGGUGGUGGUGGUGACUCAUACUUGUAUGGAGGUGGAGGUGGUGACC